ensembl:lncRNA
CGUCUCCAUCUCCAUCGCACUCUUAAAUUACAUCCUAGAGCAGUUUUUAAAAAAAAAUGGUGAUGUGCAUUAAUAAAUUACCACUUUAAUGCAUUCGUGCUGGCAAGAGUGACAAACCUGCACAUCGAGACUUGUUGAGCCUAAACUGCAGGAUAUCUUUGGACACCAACAAGUAGAAAACAAGCAGCACCUAAAGGGGCUCAGCUUAAAAGAAAGAAAAUCUACUGCUGAUUUUAACCUUAAAAAGGGGUCGAGGACAUGUCACCAGAAAAAACACACUGGACAACAUUUUAUUAAGUAAAGGCUGCCAGUGUGCGCCUCUGAGUUAUGGCUCUUUGACAGCUAAAUGAGCAACAAUUGCCUUUGCCGGGCUCCAGACCGGCUGGGCUACCUAAUAACAGCAGAAAGUACGCGUACACCACUAAUUCCCUACGCACACUUUGAUUUUAUUCCGCUAUAACGAACUUAUUUCCUCACUCUACAAAUGCUCCUCAGCCAUCAGCUUUCCCAUGAUGGAGGGGAGACAUCUCCUGACUCUCUCCCUAAGGGGCCGCAGCAUACUGACUCCUCUCCCUCAAGAAAAACACGUGGUGAUUCCAACAGCGGUUUACUGAAGGCGAUAACUCAGUCCCUGCGAGUGCCGGCACGUUCUUUAGAAUGAAGGUUAUAAGGUCUGCAGAGAUUUCCUUUCUCUUGCAGGCCUGUCAUCGGGUAAAAACACACGACGCGUCGAGCUGGAAAUCCCGUCAACACCGACACUCACCAAGCAGAUCGGCCUCGGGGCUCAGACAGUCCCUGCUCCUCCCCAGCUUACCUCUGCGGAGAGCCAGGCCCCUUCUCUUCGCUGGGUAACCUGCGCUGAGAGAGAGGCAGCGACUCCAUCCCGGGAUGGGUCACGCCGUUGGGCGGCGUGGGCGUUCCCGGAAGCUCCGGAGGUCUUCGGUUAAAAGGGUGCCCCCCCCCCCCCUCCGCCUCUGUGUCCACGUCAAUGCAGACAAAGCACCACGUUUUCCUGCACAUAUGGGAGGUCCCGAGCACGUUGGCUUGGUGCCCGAUGCGUGGGGAGGGGUCAGACUGAUAAGCAGGAAGAGGAGGCCGGGGGGGGGGGCAGACACACAGGAAGAGAGAAUAGAGGGAAGUCGGAGACAUGACGUGUGCACAGACAGAGGAGCUUCAGAGAGUUAUAACUGCAGACGGCCUGUUAGCUAGAAGCUCUGCAGGGUUUUCCGUGCGUUGAUUCAGGAAGCAAAUAGGAAUACAGGCCGAUCCACACAAAGCAGCCAAAGUGGUUUGUACCCCAACAGCUGCGUCAGAUGAACUCGACUACCCCCUCGCUGACCCCACCCAUUACCAUCCAUUACCCCUUUAGUCUGUCGCGACUGGCUUUCACUCAUGUUUAUCUGCUUUUAUUAACCAUUCCUCCAUCGCCCAUUCAAACUGUGCUUCCCAUCACGUAAAGUUAUUUAUAAUUAGCUUUAAGUUAAUGUUUCUACUUACCUGCUCCGUGGCUAACUAGUUCCCACACACUCUUCAUCGCAACUCCUUUCAGUCAUCAUCAUCUGGACUUUAGACAGCCCGUAGUCGGUGUCAGGAUUAGAAUGAUUAUGAUUAUAUGCCGAUGACGUAAUCAUACUGUUCAGUCUUCAUUCCAA